AACAUUGAAAAUGAUUUCUUCUGUUACUCUCAGGAACACCACGACCAAUAUAUGAUGUCUUUAUCCAUCUUCUCUUCUUCCCUAUGAUUAUGGCCUAAAAUGUGACUUUUGGAUAUUUCUCUAACAUGGGUUUGCUCCAUUUUCUUCAUCUCUAUGCUGCCUUUGUUGCAGUAAUGGUGGUGAUGCAUUUACUGAUCAACCCGGUUGAAUCAACGGUCCUUAUUCGCUUUCAUCAAACUCCUCCAGCUCUGUCAAGGCAUUCCUAUGCAGUUUUCCGCUACUCAUUUGAGACUCUUAGAGGUUUAAAUGCCUGCCAGGACAAUAGCUGCUCCAUACACUGUCAGCUUGAUGGCAAAACUUUGAGUUCAUGUCCAGCUAAUGUCAUUGUACUGAAUAACUUAACUGUUAACCGUGACCAUGAAUUUCUUCUCAAUGUCACAACCUCAGAUGGACAGAGAAACUCAACCACUUUUUCUUGGUUCAUUGAUACAGUACCACCUACUGCCACAAUUUUUAGCAAACAGAAUUACACUAAUGAUGAAAGAGUAGCCGUGGAAGUCACAUUCAGCGAACCUUGCAACGGACCGGGUGGCUUCAAGUGUGUAAACUCAUCAAAUUGUGAUCUCAUAAUCAAAGGCUCAGCCCAUGUAAUUGCUUCUUCCUUACGAAUUGUUAAACCCGGCAUGAAUUAUAACCUUGACAUAAUUAUCCCAAUGACAAACACAUUUGGACGCGUGGUAAUUACAAUGCGGGAUGGUAUUUGCACAGAUCAGGCUGGAAAUCAGUUCAUCAGAACAAAUGGUUCAACCAUAAUCAUUCACUUUGAUAAAAGGCCAGUGCAAGUGGAUUUGUGGACCUCUGUUCCAUCAUACGAGCUGGUGCUUGAUGCGGUCCCAAGAACUGUCCUUGCAACUAACAAAAUGGAAGACUUGAAAAUUUUCUUGGACUUCAGCAGUCCCAUAAUAAAUACUACAGCUGAGGUUCUAAUGGCAUUGCAUGUGAACUCGGGUAACAUGGUACCUAUUUAUGAAAAAAACAGAGGGAAUCGAAGAUUUGAUUUUGAACUGAAGAAUGUAUCAAGAACUGAAAUCAUUACCAUUGAACUACAAGCCUACUUAAUAAUUGGCAAGACAGGUGCUCCAGUCUCACCUGCUGCCUCAAUUACAUUUCUUUAUGAUUCUCUGGAGCCUGGUGUAUGGCUAAGUACCAGUUCCCCAAAUUUUACAAAGGAAUCCAACAUCAAUGUAAUAGUGGAGUUUACAAAGCCAGUUUUUGGCUUUGAGGCCUCCAUGGUAGAUGUGACCGGGGGUAAAGUAACAAGGUUUAAGAAACUCUCAGGAGCUCUUUACUCGGUGACUGUCCUGGCAGUAACCCAGAAAUUGGUGUCAGUUACCAUUCCUGCAGGGAGAGUAAACGAUAUUUCAGGAAAUCCAAAUUUGGCAUCAAACCAACUUCAAGUGAAGCACUAUUCAAUCCCUCUAAUAUCAGCUGCACUACAUUCUUUUAUGACUGCUGGAAUACUGGCAACAUCAUUAGCAGCAGCUGUUCUUUCAGUUUCAUAUGCAAAUCUUGGAGCAAUAGACACUCUUGCUUCUGGGAGUUCUAACAUUGUUGCUUCUGACCCUUCAAUAAAUCUGCAUGGUAUGGUUGGACACAUACAAGUGUUUGUCCUUUCAGACCGGCUCUCGGUUAACCAUCCAAUCGAAUAUUCUGAGACAACAAAAGGUCUUAGGUGGCUCAUACCUCAUCAAAAGCUUCCAUGGAAAGAGGAUAGUGCUUCAGUAUGGCCAAACCAUGUACUUUUGGAGGAAGAUAAGCUUCCGAGGAAAUUCAGUGCCUUCUCUGAAGGAUGGUCUUCGAAUGAAAAGACUAACUAUCAAAUUGACUUUUAUGCAACAAAUAAUUCUUAUAUGCCACCAGUUCCAUUGGAGAUUGACCCUAAGUCUGGUAAACUUAGGAGACAGCAUAACAUGAACAUGAGAAACACUCCUUAUGGUCAAAAUCUUGACACAGAAGAAUAUAUCAUUUAUUUCCUGAGGGGAGAGCCACUGUCUGCUAGCAAUGUUGUCAAGAGGAUGGAGAAUGACAAAGGGUGGGAAGACUUGGAGAUGAACUUGUUCUGGCUUGGGGUGGGAGGAGGUGGUUUGGUCAUACUACAUGUUCUGAUAGUACUUUUCCUAAGAUGGAGAACAGGAACAACAGCACAAGGGAUUCUGUUGGUGCCUCGAUUCGAGCUGUUUCUUCUGAUUCUCAUGCUUCCUUGCAUCUCUCAGUCCUCAGCAUUUGUAAUACGAGGAGGUACAACAGGGGGAAUAAUAACUGGAGCUUUGUUGCUGGCAAUCCCUGCAGCUUUCAUUCUAUCAGUUUGCCUUUUUCUCGUAAUUGCAAUCUUCUCUGGAGUUUUGGCCCAGUACAAGGAAGUCAAGAAUGUAGGUUUAAAAGCACCAUGGUAUAGAAAACUGUGGUUUUUCAUUACAAUGAGGCCUAUCAUGGGAAUGUGGUUUUGCAGGGAGGGGCUUCCUUCAUCCUUUUAUGCUCGCUUUGGGAUUCUCUUUGACACUAAAAAGGGUCCUCCAUUGUUUGUCUUUGUCGAUCGGAAUGACCCAAACACCUUACCAAAGUGGACUGAAAGUGGCCAUAAUGGCAUUGGGAGAAUGCGAGCCGUGAGCUCAGACGACAGCAAUGAAGAAAUCAGAGUUCCCUUAUCAAGAAGGCUCUUGGGUUGUGCUAGAUCAUUCUAUACUGUCAUUGAUCUUUUAAGAAGAAUCGGUUUAGGUAUCAUAUCUGGAACUUACUCAUCAGAGAAAGCAACCCAAAGCAUGUUAGCAUUGACGAUCACACUGGUGCAGUUCAUGUAUCUAUUUACUCUAAAACCAUACAUCGGCAGGGGAGUCCACAUGGUUGAAAGUGUUUCUCUCUUGUGUGAAGUAGGUAUUUUUGUCCUAUUUAUUACCACAACUGGAACAAAUCCAACAGAAGCACAACAUUUGGGAUUCAUAAUGCUGGCUUUCCUCUUCAUUUCCUUUGUUACUCAACUUAUAAAUGAGUGGUAUGCUCUAAUAAAUUCCCUAGUAAGACUAUCACAUCCUCAUACAAAUUCUCUUAAGCUUGGAUUGAAGUUUGCUGCAAGGGGUCUUAUCCUUCCUUUCCUACCAAGGAAGCACUGGUCAACAUUCAGACCUGCAUCCUCACAACCAAAAAUAGGCCUAGCACCAGUACUCCCUCUAAGUCCAGAAAGAGAAGUUAAAAGAAGAGACAUGAGAGCUCCUUGCAUCGACCCAAUUAGUUCCAUGAGUGCAACAGUAGUCCCUGUGCUCAGUCCUGGAUCACCAAGCCCCGAUGUUAUUCACACGUUAGGCUGCGUUACAGCAGAGACAAACCUCAGUGGACAGAGAGCAGCGGAAGGAAGAAGGCUGAGGGGACCUAGAUUAGAGCCAAAGAGUGAUCUGAAGAAGUUAAGAGAGAUGGCAAGAGCUAGUUUCUCAGGGGAUCCAAAGGGAGAAGAACCUAGCACCAGCUAUGGUUAUAGACUUUGAUCUUUAUCUGAUGAGCCCUCUUUCCUUUUACCUUCAUCCUAA